UCUGGGAAAUGAUGAUAAGAUAUCGAUAUUUCAUAGGCAUAUGCAAUGCUGAACCAAAAUAUUUUGCACGUCAGUCUGACCCCAGA